AUUGAGAGAGUGAUAGGGAGAGAGAGAGAGUGAUAGGGAGAGAGAGAGUGUGAUAGGGAGAGAGAGAGUGAUAGGGAGAGAGAGAGUGAUAGGGAGAGAGAGAGUGUGACAGGGAGAGAGAGAGUGUGACAGGGAGAGAGAGAGUGUGAUAGGGAGAGAGAGAGUGUGACAGGGAGAGAGAGUGUGACAGGGAGAGAGAGAGUGUGAUAGGGAGAGAGAGAGAGUGUGAUAGGGAGAGAGAGAGUGUGACAGGGAGAGAGAGAGAGUGUGAUAGGGAGAGAGAGAGAGUGUGAUAGGGAGAGAGAGAGAGUGAUAGGGGACAGGAUAGAGAGAGAGAGUGGGACAGGGAGAGAGAGAGUGUGAUAGGGAGAGAGAGAGUGGGACAGGGAGAGAGAGAGUGGGACAGGGAGAGAGAGAGUGUGACAGGGAGAGAGAGAGAGAGAGUGUGACAGGGAGAGAGAGAGAGUGUGAGAGAGAGAGAGAGUGUGAUAGGGAGAGAGAGAGUGUGAUAGGGAGAGAGAGAGUGUGAGAGAGAGAGAGAGAGUGUGACAGGGAGAGAGAGAGAGUGUGACAGGGAGAGAGAGAGUGUGAGAGAGAGAGAGAGUGUGACAGGGAGAGAGAGAGUGUGACAGGGAGAGAGAGAGUGGGACAGGGAGAGAGAGAGAGUGGGACAGGGAGAGAGAGAGUGUG
ensembl:lncRNA